GACGAACGCUGGCGGCGUGCUUAACACAUGCAAGUCGAACGGAAAGGCCCUGCUUUUGUGGGGUGCUCGAGUGGCGAACGGGUGAGUAACACGUGAGUAACCUGCCCUUGACUGUGGGAUAACUUCAGGAAACUGGGGCUAAUACCGGAUAGGAGCUCCUGCUGCAUGGGGGGGGUUGGAAAGUUUCGGCGGUUGGGGAUGGACUCGCGGCUUAUCAGCUUGUUGGUGGGGUAGUGGCUUACCAAGGCGUUGACGGGUAGCCGGCCUGAGAGGGUGACCGGCCACAUUGGGACUGAGAUACGGCCCAGACUCCUACGGGAGGCAGCAGUGGGGAAUAUUGCACAAUGGGCGGAAGCCUGAUGCAGCAACGCCGCGUGCGGGAUGACGGCCUUCGGGUUGUAAACCGCUUUCGCCUGUGACGAAGCGUGAGUGACGGUAAUGGGUAAAGAAGCACCGGCUAACUACGUG
rnacentral:rRNA from 1 species